GUGGGGAAUAUUGGACAAUGGGCGAAAGCCUGAUCCAGCCAUGCCGCGUGUGUGAAGAAGGUCUUCGGAUUGUAAAGCACUUUAAGUUGGGAGGAAGGGUAGUAACCUAAUACGUUGCUACUUUGACGUUACCGACAGAAUAAGCACCGGCUAACUUCGUGCCAGCAGCCGCGGUAAUACGAAGGGUGCAAGCGUUAAUCGGAAUUACUGGGCGUAAAGCGCGCGUAGGUGGUUCAGUAAGUUGGAAGUGAAAUCCCCGGGCUCAACCUGGGAACUGCUUUCAAAACUGCUGAGCUAGAGUACGGUAGAGGGUGAUGGAAUUUCCUGUGUAGCGGUGAAAUGCGUAGAUAUAGGAAGGAACACCAGUGGCGAAGGCGACCACCUGGACUGAUACUGACACUGAGGUGCGAAAGCGUGGGGAGCAAACAGGAUUAGAAACCCGAGUAGUCC
rnacentral:rRNA from 1 species